rnacentral:lncRNA from 1 species
CUGCUUCACAGUGCUUUGCAGCCCUCUCUAAGCAGUUUUACAGAGUCGGCCUACUGCCCCCAACAAUCCGGGUCCUCAUUUUAACGACCUCGGAAAGAUGGAAGGCUGAGUCAACCUUGAGCCUGGUGGGAAUCAAACUGCCAAAUUGCAGGCAGCGGGUAGUCAGCAGGAGCAGCCUGCAGUACUGCAUUCUAACCACUACAUCACCAUGGCAGCAUGGUCCCUAUUCCUAGUCCUUGUAGAUAUAAUAAUAAGACUUGCUUAUUAUUUUUUACCAUGGUUAUUUUGAGGCACAAACACUAUAUUGGGUUCUGAAAGAAAGAGGGAGGGAGGGAGGGAGGGAGAGAGAGAGAGGGGGGGGGGGGGGGGGGGGAGAGAGAGAGGGAGAGAGAGAGGGAGGGAGAGAGAGAUACUGCAUUCCAUUGUCCUAACAUGUAGUUCUUACUCUAGGCGCAUAUCAUCGAAAGUGUAGAUGUGAAUCCACAGCUCUGCUUCAAGUUUUCUUAUAUGAACACCAGCCACACUGAGUGCCCACACCAGACAGAUGCUACCUGGAAUGUAUCUCUCCAUGUGAAAUUUUUGCAACUUCACUUAAACUUCCGUUCUCGCACAGCGGCUUCUUUCAGUUCCAGCUUAUGCCAGCCGGUAUCUUCAAGCCAGUGUCAACCUGAACCCGCUGUCUAUACCAUCACGCAUGUAAGCGACUGCCGGUCUCAAGAGGAGGAAUUUGGG